UACGGAAGGGGCAAGCGUUGUCCGGAUUUACUGGGCGUAAAGAGCGCGCAGGCGGUCGUUCAAGUCGCGUGUGAAAGCCCCCGGCUCAACUGGGGAGGGUCACGCGAUACUGAUCGACUGGAAGGCAGGAGAGGGUAGUGGAAUUCCCGGUGUAGUGGUGAAAUGCGUAGAUAUCGGGAGGAACACCAGUGGCGAAGGCGACUACCUGGCCUGUUCUUGACGCUGAGGCGCGAAAGCUAGGGGAGCAAACGGG
rnacentral:rRNA from 1 species